rnacentral:lncRNA from 1 species
ACUCACCAAAACGUGAUUUAAUUAAGCAGGCAAGGUACUAAAUAUCUAAAGGAUUCAGAAACCAACAAGAAGAAAAAGAAAAGAAAGAUAUGCUAUCCUUCUCCCUCACGGGUAGCAAAAGGGGUAAAUCCCUAAAAGUAAAUGGGAUAAAAAUCCCUAAAACCAAAGUCCCACUUUUCUUCUCAAUUCCUUUCUUUUCACGCAGCAGGGAUGGCCAUGGCAUGGAAUCCGUUUUCUUCCUUCUUUCCAAUCGGUAGUCUUCAUGGCGACUAAAGGUUGUUGAAGAUGGAAGCCGAAUUGAUCCAGCCGGAAGAACCUAUUUCAGUGACGGUUCGUGGUGGGUUGCGGUAGUUCGCGAUGGUUGGGAUUGAGAUGCAUUCACGGUGGUUCAUGUUGGUUCGGUUUUCACUCCCGGUGGCUUAAACUCGAUAAAAAAAUUAUUCACUAAUAGUUUUUAAAGUUGGUGAUUACCUUCCAUAAAAAACACGUAUAGAAGCACCGCCCAAAAGUAUUGUCAUUAAAAACUAUAGAUUUAGCAUGUUCUAGAGUUUGAUAUGCGGUAGGAAAAUAAAAUAGGG